AAAAUUGUUCAUGUUCCUAUGAUCCGAGCUUCACCUGACAGUGAUAUUCCUGGGAGGCCGAUCCCGUGCCGACAGGCUGGAGAAGAUUUUUGUGUUGUGGCAAAGCACAGAAAAAACAGAAGAAAAAAAAGAAGGAGAAAACUGGAUUUCUGAGCAGAUUACGCCGCUUGUUUAAACGUUGAC